rnacentral:lncRNA from 1 species
AGGAGCCUGCGCGGGACCCCAGCAUCCUGAGGCUGCCCAGGGUCGUCGGGGUCCCCGGACCCCGCGGGCGCCGCCACCGGGGCGAGCAACAGCAGCAGCGCGAGCAGCGGGGCGGUGGGGCGCGGGCCCCUGGGCCCGGACCAGGGAGCAGGCAGCCGUUGCCGGCGGGGCUGCAUGGACGCAGGAAAGUUGGCUCGGCACCCGACAGACACGGGCUCGGAGCGGGCAGUGCCGGCGCUCGCGGAAAUAAGGCCGUGGUGGGCCCCUCCCCUCCGCCCCCAGGGCGAAGAUAAUUGUGAAACACCUGUGCCAGGCCCUGGGGGAAUGAGGGUGAACAAUCUUAAACAUCUCUGCCUUCCUGGAGCACACCUUCUAGGUUGCACAGUGGCUCAGAGAGUAGACUUGGAGCCAGGCUGCCCGGUUUUAUAGCCCUGCUUGACCUGUGUGAUCCGAGAAUAAUCUUGUUUAAUCUCCACAAGUUUGAGGACUAAACUGGGUGCCACAGAGAAUUAAGUAACUGGUCGAGGUUGUAUCAGUAAGAAGGGAGCACGGAACAGAUUCAAGCUCAGCUUACACUUGGCAAUCUUCUAGGGAGGACUUUGGCUGAACCCAGUGAACCAGGAGGAAAAGAAUCACAAACAUCUGGAGUUUGUUGACUAGAAAAAUUCCUUGUGGUCUGACAGAUUACCAUUUCCUACCCAGCCAUUCUCAUCAGAGAAACCAGUCCCAUUUUCAACUGGCGCGGCUAGUUGAAAGUUCCACAUGUUUCCCCAGAAAAUGGCAUAGCCAGAAGGCCCUCACCAGAUUCCAGCACCAGCCUCCAGAACAUGAGCCAAAUAAAUCAUCGUUUAUAAAUUA